rnacentral:rRNA from 1 species
GAAGCGACAAAUGCCCUGCUUCCAGGAAAAGCCUCUAAGCAUCAGGUAACAUCAAAUCGUACCCCAAACCGACACAGGUGGUCAGGUAGAGAAUACCAAGGCGCUUGAGAGAACUCGGGUGAAGGAACUAGGCAAAAUGGUGCCGUAACUUCGGGAGAAGGCACGCUGAUAUGUAGGUGAAGCGACUUGCUCGUGGAGCUGAAAUCAGUCGAAGAUACCAGCUGGCUGCAACUGUUUAUUAAAAACACAGCACUGUGCAAACACGAAAGUGGACGUAUACGGUGUGACGCCUGCCCGGUGCCGGAAGGUUAAUUGAUGGGGUUAGCGGUAACGCGAAGCUCUUGAUCGAAGCCCCGGUAAACGGCGGCCGUAACUAUAACGGUCCUAAGGUAGCGAAAUUCCUUGUCGGGUAAGUUCCGACCUGCACGAAUGGCGUAAUGAUGGCCAGGCUGUCUCCACCCGAGACUCAGUGAAAUUGAACUCGCUGUGAAGAUGCAGUGUACCCGCGGCAAGACGGAAAGACCCCGUGAACCUUUACUAUAGCUUGACACUGAACAUUGAGCCUUGAUGUGUAGGAUAGGUGGGAGGCUUUGAAGUGUGGACGCCAGUCUGCAUGGAGCCGACCUUGAAAUACCACCCUUUAAUGUUUGAUGUUCUAACGUGGGCCCCUUACCGGGGUUGCGGACAGUGUCUGGUGGGUAGUUUGACUGGGGCGGUCUCCUCCUAAAGAGUAACGGAGGAGCACGAAGGUUGGCUAAUCCUGGUCGGACAUCAGGAGGUUAGUGCAAUGGCAUAAGCCAGCUUGACUGCGAGCGUGACGGCGCGAGCAGGUGCGAAAGCAGGUCAUAGUGAUCCGGUGGUUCUGAAUGGAAGGGCCAUCGCUCAACGGAUAAAAGGUACUCCGGGGAUAACAGGCUGAUACCGCCCAAGAGUUCAUAUCGACGGCGGUGUUUGGCACCUCGAUGUCGGCUCAUCACAUCCUGGGGCUGAAGUAGGUCCCAAGGGUAUGGCUGUUCGCCAUUUAAAGUGGUACGCGAGCUGGGUUUAGAACGUCGUGAGACAGUUCGGUCCCUAUCUGCCGUGGGCGCUGGAGAACUGAGGGGGGCUGCUCCUAGUACGAGAGGACCGGAGUGGACGCAUCACUGGUGUUCGGGUUGUCAUGCCAAUGGCACUGCCCGGUAGCUAAAUGCGGAAGAGAUAAGUGCUGAAAGCAUCUAAGCACGAAACUUGCCCCGAGAUGAGUUCUCCCUGACUCCUUGAGAGUCCUGAAGGAACGUUGAAGACGACGACGUUGAUAGGCCGGGUGUGUAAGCGCAGCGAUGCGUUGAGCUAACCGGUACUAAUGAACCGUGAGGCUUAACCUU